UAAUAUCCUUAUACGGUCCUCAGCACCGGUCCAGACUACUCCCGAGUCUGUUAUCCUGCUGACUCACCUUCCUCUGUCCUAAUCUCCAAUCUGGAACCACUAUNUUCCCCUGUCCAAACCUCCAAUCUGGAACCACUAUCCUCCUCCUCUUCCAAGGAGACUGAAAACAUGCCUGUGCAUCAUCCAACAUUGCCAUAACCUCAACGGGCAUCCAACCCGUAUGUGCUUCCAUAUAUCUAGUACAAUCCCAGUGCUUACUAACAAUAACUGAAGCACUUUCGAUCAUCCAUUUACUCUGCUGCCUUCCUUUCAGAGGACCCACACUC
rnacentral:lncRNA from 1 species